UACAGAGGGUGCGAGCGUUAAUCGGAAUUACUGGGCGUAAAGCGCGCGUAGGCGGCUUUGCAAGUCGGGUGUGCAAUCCCCAGGCUUAACCUGGGAACUGCAUUCGAGACUGCAUUGCUAGAGUAUGGGAGAGGGAAGUGGAAUUUCCGGUGUAGCGGUGAAAUGCGUAGAUAUCGGAAGGAACAUCAGUGGCGAAAGCGACUUCCUGGACCAAUACUGACGCUCAUGUGCGAAAGCGUGGGGAGCAAACAGG
rnacentral:rRNA from 1 species